rnacentral:lncRNA from 1 species
AAAAAAAAAAAAAAGGCAGAAAGAACAAAAAGCAGUACAGGAAACUAAAAUGUGCAAGAAAAGGCAAAAAAAAAGAAAGAAAAAAAGAAUAAAAAGGCUUCGUGAGAAGUUCACGAAGCGAGAAAUAAAUGAUGAUGUGACCAAUGAAAAGGAAAGUUGUGACUCAUUUCUGAAAAGGUCCUCCUUCAAAGCAAGAGGAGACACAUUUCCACAAGAAGGGUGGAAAAUAGAAUACGCAGGGUGGGCUGAGCUGUUUCGAUAGAUUACACCUAAUAAUAUAGAAAGUAUGUCCUUAAUUUAGUUUGAAUGUUCUGCCAAUAUUUAUAAUUUUCUGCUUAUUUAAUAUCUACUGUGCUGCUGAAUGAGAAUAAUGUGCUUUUUUAUUAAUAUUUCACUGAACAGUUAAGAGGAAAAGUUUAAAGAGAACUGAUAUGACAUAUUGAUAGCUCUUUGGUAAUUGAUAAAAUCACAUUUUGUGCACUUAAUCUAAAUCCUCCUCUGUAGGUUUCUCGACCUGCGAAUCCUCCCAUGCAUUGUCUAGAACAGGAACCAGGUGUCUUCUUUAGUCACUUCUGAGAGGCAGCAGUGCAGAUAUGCUCGACGGCUGCUGGAUCGUUCGGAUGACUGCAGUGCUCUCCGUCGUCUGUCCUGCGUUUUCUGAGGCUCAGUUUAGCUUGAGGAAAAGGCGAGACUUCAAAUCAGGCUACAAAGGCAUCACCCUGCGAAUACAGAGAACAACUACAGACAAUGAAACGGCUUCAAUCUACUGCCCAGAUCUGAGAAAUGAAGAGAAGUCUUCAUUUAACCUCAGUCUACACAAGAUUGAUAUAAACUCAACUGCAAUGACCAGCCUCAAGCCCAGUCACAGGUUGCAUUUAUCCAUAGAGAAAAACACUUUUUUGAUAAAAAUGCUUCAAGUCAAUCAUACAGGCCUGUACUGCUGUGGAGUCUGGCCUGACAGAACUGCUUACACUCUGCUACUUGUUGAAGAGUCACACUCGUGUGUAAGUGAGGGGAAGCCACUCUCCUGGAUAAUGCUGGCUGCAGGCUGUGGGCUAUUUGCUUUAUACAACCUCAUUGUGACAACUGUAGCCUGUUACUUUGGUAGGAAACUGAAAAAUGCAGAGACGGAGACUCAGAGCGAGUACUACAACACAAGGCCUGGAGAAUUCAGAAGAGCCAGAUGAGUUCAGAAUCCAGAUCCAGCUGCCCAAACCAAACGACCAAGAUGAUAAAAGCGGGAUCAUAUACAAUCAUAUGCUACUACAGUUUUUAAGUGCUUAUAUUGACAUAUCUAGCCUAUAUAGCAUCUAACUAGAAGUGCAAAUUGGCUAACAUAUAACAUAUAAUGUAACAUAUAAAUAAGUGCAAAAUGUAUGUGUGAAUGAGCUUAAUGAAGUAGAAUAUUUCAUGUGCAGGCAUGGAACAAUAUUAUGCAUAAAUGGAAAACAGCUAAAGUUAGCAGUGCAGAAUUAAAUAAAGAAAAAAGUGUGAACA